rnacentral:rRNA from 1 species
GACGAACGCUGGCGGCGUGCUUAACACAUGCAAGUCGAACGGAAAGGCCCUGCUUUUGUGGGGUGCUCGAGUGGCGAACGCGUGAGUAACACGUGAGUAACCUGCCCUUGACUUUGGGAUAACUUCAGGAAACUGGGGCUAAUACCGGAUAGGAGCUCCUGCUGCAUGGUGGGGGUUGGAACGUUUCGGCGGGUGGGGAUGGACUCGCGGCUUAUCAGCUUGUUGGUGGGGUAGUGGCUUACCAAGGCAUUGACGGGUAGCCGGCCUGAGAGGGUGAACGGCCACAUGGGGACUGAGAUACGGCGCAGACUGCUACGGUGGGCAGCAGUGGGGAGUAUGGUACAAUGGGCGGGAGCCUGAUGAAGCAACGCCGCGUGCGUGAUGACGGCCUUCUGGUUGUGAACCGCUUUCGCCUGUGACGAAGCGUGAGUGACGGUAAUGGGUAAAGAAGCACCGGCUAACUACGUG